UGGGGAAUAUUGCACAAUGGGCGCAAGCCUGAUGCAGCCAUGCCGCGUGUAUGAAGAAGGCCUUCGGGUUGUAAAGUACUUUCAGUCGGGAGGAAGGUGUCAAGGUUAAUAACCUUGGCAAUUGACGUUACCGACAGAAGAAGCACCGGCUAACUCCGUGCCAGCAGCCGCGGUAAUACGGAGGGUGCAAGCGUUAAUCGGAAUUACUGGGCGUAAAGCGCACGCAGGCGGUUGAUUGAGUCAGAUGUGAAAUCCCCGGGCUUAACCCGGGAAUUGCAUCUGAUACUGGCAAGCUUGAGUCUCGUAGAGGGGGGUAGAAUUCCAGGUGUAGCGGUGAAAUGCGUGGAGAUCUGGAGGAAUACCGGUGGCGAAGGCGGCCCCCUGGACGAAGACUGACGCUCAGGUGCGAAAGCGUGGGGAGCAAACAGG
rnacentral:rRNA from 1 species